CAGCGACUGGACAACUUCUGAGUCCGAUCAGGUGAGGGCACGUCCUCUUAUAAACGCCGCCGACACCUUUGUUUUGCUUUUGGCCUGGAGCGAUGACGGCACUCGACACGCUCGCUUGGGGACGGAUCCCAGCCCAUGUAAAAAUUUGAUGAAAGCUCUCCAUGACUUUAAAUGGGUUUAUUUUGCUCUUUGACUUUUGGAGUUUCCAAAUUUUUUUCCUUCUCUUGGAUGUACAAUAUCCGAAAAUGUGGUUUCCUUCUUAAUUAAUGGAAUAUUUCAGACUCCCCAUGACUUUUAAAUUUUUUUAUAAAAAUAUUGAAAGGUACUUGCUUCUGGUUGGCACAUAUUUAAAAUCUGAGAAUAAUGAUUCUUUCUAACAACCAAAUCUCAGUCAGAGCAGUUAAUUUUAUACCUUCUUGAUCUUAGAUCUUUGAGAACUUUUAUUUUCCAUAAAAUUCUGGUCAUCAAUGGGGCUACCAGGGUCCAAUUUUUGUUCUUCAUAUUUUUUUAUAGAAAUCGAAGAGGAUUGAAGCUCUGAUUCGAAUAUGAUAUUCCGUUUGAAAAUCUGUUGUGAAAUGGCCAGGCUAUACCC